GCGGAAGUGGCUCAGAGGUAGAGCAUCGCCUUGCCAAGGCGAGGGUCGCGGGUUCAAGUCCCGUCUUCCGCUCCA
rnacentral:tRNA from 2 species